rnacentral:rRNA from 1 species
GACGAACGCUGGCGGCGUGCUUAACACAUGCAAGUCGAACGGAAGGCCCUGCUUUUGUGGGGUGCUCGAGUGGCGAACGGGUGAGUAACACGUGAGUAACCUGCCCUUGACUUUGGGAUAACUUCAGGAAACUGGGGCUAAUACCGGAUAGGAGCUCCUGCUGCAUGGUGGGGGUUGGAAAGUUUCGGCGGUUGGGGAUGGACUCGCGGCUUAUCAGCUUGUUGGUGGGGUAGUGACUUACCAAGGCUUUGACGGGUAGCCGGCCUGAGAGGGUGACCGGCCACAUUGGGACUGAGAUACGGCCCAGACUCCUACGGGAGGCAGCAGUGGGGAAUAUUGCACAAUGGGCGGAAGCCUGAUGCAGCAACGCCGCGUGCGGGAUGACGGCCUUCGGGUUGUAAACCGCUUUCGCCUGUGACGAAGCGUGAGUGACGGUAAUGGGUAAAGAAGCACCGGCUAACUACGUG